rnacentral:rRNA from 1 species
CCGCCAACACUGGGACUGAGAACUGCCCAGACUUCUACGGGAGGCUGCAGUCGAGAAUCUUUCGCAAUGGGCGCAAGCCUGACGAAGCGACGCCGUGUGUGUGAUGAAGGCCUUCGGGUUGUAAAGCACUUUCGCCUGAGAACAAGAAAACGUUGCUAAUACCGGCGUGAUUUGAGAGUACCAGGUAAAGAAGCACCGGCUAACUC